GACGAACGCUGGCGGCGCGCCUAACACAUGCAAGUCGAACGGAGCUGAGAGAAGCUUGCUUUUCUUAGCUUAGUGGCGAACGGGUGAGUAACGCGUGAGUAACCUGCCCUGGAGUGGGGGACAACAGUUGGAAACGACUGCUAAUACCGCAUAAGCCCACGAUCCGGCAUCGGAUUGAGGGAAAAGGAUUUAUUCGCUUCAGGAUGGACUCGCGUCCAAUUAGCUAGUUGGUGAGGUAACGGCCCACCAAGGCGACGAUUGGUAGCCGGACUGAGAGGUUGAACGGCCACAUUGGGACUGAGACACGGCCCAGACUCCUACGGGAGGCAGCAGUGGGGGAUAUUGCACAAUGGGGGAAACCCUGAUGCAGCGACGCCGCGUGGAGGAAGAAGGUUUUCGAAUUGUAAACUCCUGUCGUUAGGGACGAUAAUGACGGUACCUAACAAGAAAGCACCGGCUAACUACGUG
rnacentral:rRNA from 1 species